GGCAUGCAGGGUUGGACAGGUGCAAAAGAUAAAUACUCUUUUGUAACCCAGAACUCAUUGUUCAAUAUGAGUUUUGAUACAUACAAGAAGAAAGACA
rnacentral:snoRNA from 1 species